rnacentral:ncRNA from 2 species
UUUUUUUUGCGGGGGGACGCUUGGCGUUGAGAAGGUAAAACCUGACCCUUAGAACCUGUUGGUUAACACCGUCGGAGGGAAGCAAGUCUAAGAUAACA